GGGCUACCUGAUCAAUCAAAGACAUCAGAGCAAUAAAUAACCAGGAUUCACUCUGUUUACCCUUUGAACUGCUACCACUAUUUCUCAUUGGUCAAAACCAAUGGGAAGCUAAAGGAUGAGAAUUCUUGUUGACAUAUUCCAUAUACCUUGGCUUCCAGGGGGACAUAUCAAGGGUAGAGAGUAGAUUUGAGUGGACAAAUGAGAGAGAUCCAAUUUGGAAUUGGAAUUUUGGAAAGUAGUUUGGAAUGGCAAGAGAAUGAGCAGAGCCAUCAAGUGAAUAUAGGAAAUUCCUGUAAUAGUUCAGGCAGAGCUAGUAAGGGUCUGAAACAGAUCAGCAUUAAUGACAACGCAAGAAGGGAAGAGAGAAUAGAUGGCAUAUGGAGUGGUUUCUUUUCCUCACAAAAUUGAAAAAGAUAAACUGAAGCAUGAGUUAAUAGUAGAACUGCUUGUGAUGAGUGAAAUGUGAAGGAGAAAUUUGGACAGAGGAGCAGACAUGAGGAGAACUUCGUAUGAAGAUUGGAAUUUUGCAACCACAAGCCAGGGAACUACCAGAAGCUAAAAGGGAGGCCUGGGACAGAUCCUUUGAGCCUGCCCCUGCCUACACCUGGAUCUCAGAUGUCUAAUGUCCAGGAUUAUAAGACAUUACAUUUCUUUUUAAGAUAUUUUGUAGUAUUUUCUUAAUGGCAGUCCUCGAAAACUAGUGCACCAUCUUGUCUACACCUAGUUUUCCAGGGAAGAGAUUUCCAAAAUGUGUGCCUCUGGACACUGGUCCCUGGAGAGGCUCCAUGAAGAAGGUUGCUAUGAUGCUAUGGGCAAAUACCUGGAGUUUUAGAAGACAUUGUAAAAAAAUAGUUUCACAGGAGUCCUACAGUCAAGAGUCAGAAUUCCUCCUGUAUGAGACAUACAACACUUUCUCACCAUAGCAUGUCUUGAGAAAUUUGUUCUGGAGAUAUGGAGCUCUAGUGCAAUGAACUGUGGGCUUUCAAAUUGUUUCUGUUGCUUGAUUUAGUAAACCUUCCAAUACAA
rnacentral:lncRNA from 1 species